rnacentral:lncRNA from 1 species
UUUAAACCCUAACUUACAGAAGUAUAACAAAUAUUUGUAGGGAAGAAAUACUUUGACAGUGUGUAAAGCAGUAAGACGAGUUUCUUUUCUGUCACAUAAAUGCCAAAAGUCUUGCAAAAGUCUUCUGAUGAUGAGAAUCACAGUUUAAAGCUGGGUGGAAACCAAGGCUAUAUCCUACCCUGGGAAUAGUAGACUUUAUCUUCUGAUAUCUCUCCUGUCCCUGACUGUUGCAAUGAGGUGCUGAGUACUAGCUAGCUAUGUAGAAGAGGUUAGGAGAUUGGGGUGAAGAAUUUAUUUAAAAAGAUGCUCUAUUGAGAAUCUUGGGUCAUUACCCCAACAGGUAAAAAAUGCAUUAAAAUCAUCUAUGCUGACAUCAAUAUAGUUUGAAAAAAUGUAGAUUACCAGGCUGAUUUGGAUCACUCAAAAGCAUUGGGUAAACAUCUGUGUGUGGCACUACACAAAGGAAACUAAACAGAAGUGUCCUGCUUCAAGGGCACAAUUAUAGGCGAUUUUUAUAAAGGCAUUGAUACAUCCAGGAAGUCUACGAAAGCCUGCUGGUUCCAGUUUGCCUAAAGUAUGAGGGGAUUCAGGAAAUAAGUUACUAUACCCUAUAAAGUUAGAAGGACCCUUAGGCAUCCAGUGAGACUGCCAGUUGAGGACUCUGGUUCAGAUCAAAAGACAUCUGGCAGAAACUGACUGCUAGAAAAGGGGCUGUUGAGGCUCUUUUUCUAAUCCACAUUUGAGAGGGCAAAUGACAAGCAUCCCCUUUGGCUCAAAGGGGAGAGGCAGAGUCCAGGAUGUUUAACAUUCAUUAGGCGCUAGAUACUGAACAGAUCAGCUCAUGGAUACUCUUCAUGAUCUGAAGGAACUAUUGAACCUCUUCCCAGAGAAAGGCACUCACAGACGUGCAUGAAAUUUGGCGCCGUGACUCGGAUUGGGGGAACUCCCCUGGGAGAUCAAUCCCCUGUCCUCUUGUUCUUUGCUCCAUGAGAAAGAUCCACCUACGACCUCAGGUCCUCAGACUGACCAGCCCAAGGAACAUCUCACCAAUUUUAAAUCAGGUAGGUGGCCUCUUCUUACUCUCUUCUCCAACCUCUCUCACUGUCCCUCAACCACUUUCUUCUUUCCACUCUUCAAUCUCUCCCUUCUCUUAAUUUCAAUUCCUUUCAUUUUCUGGGAGAGACAAAGGAGACACGUUUUAUCUGUGGACCCAAAACUCCGGCGCCAGUCACAGACUGGGAAGGCAGGCUUCCCUUGGUGUUUAAUCAUUGCAGGGAUGCCUCUCUGAUUAUUCACCCACGUUUCAAAGGUGUCAGACCACGCAGGGACGCCUGCCUUGGUCCUUCACGCUUAGCAGCAAGUCCCGCUUUUCUGGGGAAGAGGCAAGUACCCCAACCCCUUCUCUCCUUGUCUCUACCCCUUCUCUCCUUUCCUGGGGCAGGGGCAAGUACCCCUCAACCCCUUCUCCUUCACCCUUAGUGGCAAGUCCUGCUUUUCUGGGUGAGGGGCAAGUACCCCUCAACCCCUUCUCCUUCACCCUUAGUGGCAAGUCCCGCUUUUCUGGGGGAGGGGCAAGUACCCCUCAACCCCUUCUCUUUCACCCUUAGCGGCAAGUCCCGCUUUUCUAGGGGGCAAGAACCCCCAAUCCCUUAUUUCCGCACCCCAACCUCGUAUCUCUGUGCCCCAAUCCCUUAUUUCCAUGCCCUGACCCCUUAUUUCCAUGCCCCAACCCCUUAUUUCCAUGCCCUGACCUCUUAUCUCUGUGCCCUAACCCCUUUUCCCACUUUUCUGGAAGGGAAGAACCCCCAAACCCCUUCCCUCCAUUUCUCUACUCUCUUCUCUAGGCUUGCUUCCUUCACUAUAGGCAACCUUCCACCCUCCAUUCCUCCUUCUACUCCCUUGGCCUGUGUUCUCAAAAACUUAAAAUCUCUUCAACUCACAACUGACCUAAAACCUAAAUGCCUUAUUUUCUUCUGCAAUGCCACUUGACCCCAAUACAAACUCGACUGUAGUUCCAAAUAGCCAGAAAAUGGCACUUUGAAUUUUUCCAUCCUGCAAGAUCUAAAUAAUUCUUGUCCUAAAAUAGGCAAACAGUCUGAGGUGCCUGACGUCCAGGCAUUCUUUUACACAUCAGUCCCUUCCUUGUCUCUGUGCCCAGUGCAAAUCAUCCCAAAUCUUCCUUCUUUCCCUCCCGCCUGUCCCCUAAGUCCCAAACCCAAGCAUCGAUGAGUCUUUCUAAUCUUCCUUUUCUACAGACCCAUCUGACCUCUCCCCUCCUUGCCAGGCCUAGCUAGGUCCCAAUGCUUCCUCAGCCUCCGCUCCUCCACCCUAUAAUCUUUUUAUCGCCUCCCCUCCUCACACCUGGUCUGGCUUACAGUUUCGUUCUUGACUAGCCCUCCCCCACCUGCCCAGCAAUUUACUCUUAAAAAGGUGGCUGGAGCCAAAGGCAUAGUCAAGGUUAAUGCUCCUUUUUCUUUAUCCCAAAUCGGAUAGCGUUUAGGCUCUUUUUCAUCAAAUAUAAAAAUCCAGCCCAGUUCAUGACUUGUUUGGCAGCAACCCUGAGA